rnacentral:rRNA from 1 species
UACGUAGGUGCAAGCGUUGUCCGGAAUUAUUUGGGCGUAAAGAGCUCGUAGGCGGUCUGUCGCGUCGGCUGUGAAAACCCGGGGCUCAACCCCGGCCUGCAGUCGAUACGGGCAGACUAGAGUGCGGUAGGGGGAGACUGGAAUUCCUGGUGUAGCGGUGAAAUGCGCAGAUAUCAGGAGGAACACCGGUGGCGAAGGCGG